rnacentral:snRNA from 1 species
GUGCUCUCUUCAGCAGUACAUAUAUUAAAAUUGCAAUGAUACAAAGAAGAUUAACAUGGCCCCGAGCAAGAAUGACAUGCAAAUUCGUGAAGCAUUCCAUAUUUUU